GGCGCAAGGGUGCGUAACACGUGGACAAUCUGCCCUCAAGUUGGGGAUAAUCCCGCGAAAGCGGGACUAAUACCGAAUGUGGUUUUGGAUUGGCAUCGGUUUAAAACCAAAGCUGGGGACCGCAAGGCCUGGCGCUUGAGGAUGAGUCCGCGACCUAUCAGCUCGUUGGCGGGGUAACGGCCCACCAAGGCAAAGACGGGUAGCUGGUCUGAGAGGACGACCAGCCACACUGGAACUGAGACACGGUCCAGACACCUACGGGUGGCAGCAGUCGAGAAUUUUUCACAAUGGGCGCAAGCUUGAUGGAGCGACGUCGCGUGGGGGAUGAAGGGCUUCGGCUCGUAAACCCCUGUCAGUUGCGAACAAACCUCGUGGGUGAACAGCCUACGAGUUGAUGGUAGCAACAGAGGAAGGGACGGCUAACUCUGUGCCAGCAGCCGCGGUAAUACAGAGGUCCCGAGCGUUGUUCGGAUUCACUGGGCGUGAAGGGUGCGUAGGUGGUUGAGCAAGUCUGAUGUGAAAGCCCCGGGCCCAACCCGGGAAUGGCAUCGGAAACUGCCCGGCUAUAAGGUUUGUAAAAGGGAAACACUGAAAUUCCCGGUUGUACACAGUGAAAUGCGUAGAUUAUCGGGAGGGAACGCCAGGUGGCGAAGGCGAGUCCCUGGACAACACCUGACACUGAGGCACGAAAGCUUGGGGAGCAAACAGGAUUAGAUACCCCUGGUAGUCCAAGCCGUAAACGGUGCACGUUUGCUGUGGGCGGAAUCGACCCCGUCCGUGGCGGAGCCACGCGUUAACGUGCGCCUGGGGAGUACGGUCGCAGAUUAAACUCAAGAAAUUGACGGGGCUGCACAGCGGUGGGAGUAUGUGGCUCAAUUCGAUGCACGCGAAGAACUACUGUCUGACAUGCACGUGGUAGAGCCUGAAGGGCGACGACCCCAAGGGGGCGUGCCAGUGCUGCAUGCUGUCGUCACUCAGUCUGGAUGUUUGGUUAAUACCGCACAGCCAACCCUGCGUCUUGUUGCUACCGUCGAGACUGAACCUGAGA
rnacentral:rRNA from 1 species